GUCGGGAAUUUUGGGCAAUGGGCGAAAGCCUGACCCAGCAACGCCGCGUGAGGGAUGAAGGCCUUCGGGUCGUAAACCUCUGUCGGGAGGGAAGAACGUGAUCCAUUCAAAUAGGGUGGAUGACUGACGGUACCUCCAAAGGAAGCACCGGCUAACUCCGUGCCAGCAGCCGCGGUAAUACGGAGGGUGCAAGCGUUGUUCGGAAUCAUUGGGCGUAAAGCGCGCGUAGGCGGCUUGGUAAGUCGGGUGUGAAAGCCCGGGGCUCAACCCCGGAACGGCACUCGAAACUGCCUCGCUAGAGUCUCGGAGAGGAAGGCGGAAUUCCCGGUGUAGAGGUGAAAUUCGUAGAUAUCGGGAGGAACACCAGUGGCGAAGGCGGCCUUCUGGACGAUGACUGACGCUGAGGUGCGAAAGCGUGGGGAGCAAACAGG
rnacentral:rRNA from 1 species